GCGCUAUAUAAGGUUGGGCGGGGCAGGUGCGGCUGGUUGUGUGUGAGGGGUGAGGGUGCGGCCCCGCUGCUGCCCGGGCUGCGGAGGUGAGAGCGCCUUGUCCGCUGUGUUUAUGGACUGGGAGAGCUGGGGGGCGUUUAGGGGCGCGUUGUGUUGGGCAGCGGGGGCCGGCCUGGCUCGUGGUUUCUCCUGGUGCUGGCGGAGUGGAGGUGAGUUGUGCUUCCUGCUGGGAGAGAGAAGGGCCUGGGGAAGCUGCUCCGUGAACCACAGCUGUGCCGAGCCUGGGAGUCUGUCCAGCAGGAUGUCGAGUGCCACCGUGUCCCUGAGGUCACCCUUUCUGCUGUUGGGAGAGCACGAGGUGGAUGGAGAGGAUCCCCAGGCAUCUGCAGGCACAAGGGACUCAAACUGCGAUUUUCCUCCAGCCCUCAUAAGGUGGACUUUCAGGAUACCAUGGGUAAUGUGCCAGCUCUCCUGCUGGAGUUUUUGUUUUCUGCUAUAUUUGAACGUAAAGAGUAAAACUAAA